UACGGGGGGGGCAAGCGUUGUUCGGAAUUACUGGGCGUAAAGGGCUCGUAGGCGGCCAACUAAGUCAGACGUGAAAUCCCCCGGCUUAACCAGGGAACUGCGUCUGAUACUGGAUGGCUUGAGUUUGGGAGAGGGAUGCGGAAUUCCUGGUGUAGCGGUGGAAUGCGCAGAUAUCAGGAGGAACACCGGUGGCGAAGGCGGGAUCCUGGGCCAGUACUGACGCUGAGGAGCGAAAGCGUGGGGAGCAAACAGG
rnacentral:rRNA from 1 species